AGGUAUAAGUAGAAGCCAUCCGCUUCUCACCUUACGCCAAAGGUAGUAAGGUUUCUUCAGGUUAUAGUGGACUUAUGCGGAUGGACUACCAUCCGCUUUUUGUUUUGUAA
rfam:Caloramator australicus RC3, WGS project CAKP01000000 data, contig: 130